rnacentral:rRNA from 1 species
GGACCAAGGAGUCUAGCAUGUGCGCGAGUCAUUGGGACUCUGUUAAAACCUAAAGGCGUAAUGAAAGUGAAUAUAUGAUGUGUUUCCUUUUAUUAGGAAUCACUGAAUCAUUAAGGGAAGAUGGGUGACGAUAUUUAUGUUACCUCGCACUCCCGGGGCGUCGCGUACUUAUUGCAAGUUGCGGCGCACCAAGAGCGUACACGCUGGGACCC